AGCAGAGCCAAGAUAUGGGAAGACAGAUGGAGAAGGAGGGAGAGAGAAAGUGAUUUCUUGAUGACAUGAUUUGGGUCCCUGGAUCCACCUGAGAUAAGAGCUAUCCCUAGACCUUUCAGCUUCCAUUUUUGCUGUUAACUGAUUUGAAUUGGGUUUCUCUCACUCACAACCAAGAAUUCUGAAUCCUGCAAGGGCUUUCUCGUUAUAUGACUUGGCACCUCAGCUCAGCAACAGCUAACAUAGGAGAUACCAUGGCAUCUGUGCCCAGCCUGUUCUAUAAAGAAAGAUGUAUUCAUGAACCUAACCAAGGGAGUCUGAGGGAGAUGUAGAGAAGCAGAGCCAUUGGAACAUAUGUAAGCACGUGUGCCCGUCUUCAGGGAAGGGAGCCAUUUCCCCACUUCUUGAGAGAAAACAGCCCUCCUCUAGCACCACGAAGGGCUUGAUGAUGGUGCCAAAGGAAGUGGCAGCAGGGCCUGGCUGAGAGGGGAUGCCCAGCGGGAAACUCCACAGACACAGCAUAUGCUGUGCGCUGCCAACAUACAGAGCACUGCGCUCGCAGGAUGGUCCAUGAAAGGUCUGGAAGCAGCCCAGGUGUCAAUCAACCAGUGGGUGCUCUGCCAGGUCAGGGUGCGUUCUGCUCUGCGUUUUUCCAUCCUGCCUAAACGUUGCAGGAGGCUUCUUAGCUGGUGAUGACCCUGGACUGCUUCCUGGCUUACUCUGGGCUUCAGAUUCGGACAAACAUUUGGCUCUCAAGGUCACUUCAUGCUCUAAACCUUCUGUAAUCUCCAGGACAUCAAUCCACUCAGGUUUGGUAGGAGCUAGGGUGAGUCAAACAUCACCCUCUACAGGCUCAUCUGCCAGUGAUGAAAGCAUGUGCUCGGUGCCCCCACUCCAAGGAUGUGCUGGAGGGUGUGGGGAGCCGGGCCCAGGGCCUGCCUGGACUGAUCCCCUUUUGCUGCAUCAGCAAUGGGAAGCAGAGUAACUCACCUCCCAAUGAAAGGAGUUAAGAAAAGAACCUUUAUCUGAGGAAUACAAGUCCUUUUAAUUAUCAGGCCCAGAGAGACACUAAAACGAGACAGCAAUCAUGUCCUACUCCCCUGCUUUGAGCAAUGUGUUCGUCUCUUGAAGCUGCUUGCUAUCACCACAGGUAGCUAUAGAUCAACCUAAUAGUGCCUCACCAGACACUGUAACCCACGCUUUAUAGCUUAACAAUGUAUAGCCAAUCAAAUCAAUGUUAUUUAUGUAAACCAAUGAGAAUUCCUGACAAACAACUUUAUAUCAGCCCAUACCCCAUCCUCUGCUUUUGCCUUUAAAAAUCCACUUGUAACUUCAGCUAAUCAGAGUGUGUAUUUAGGGCAACUUGAAUCUAUGCUCGCAGGUUGCAAUCCUCAAACUUGACUCAAAUAAACUCUCUACUUAUAUUAA
rnacentral:lncRNA from 1 species